rnacentral:siRNA from 1 species
GAGAAUAGUGACCCUUGCCCUCU